rnacentral:rRNA from 1 species
CCCCACUGCUAUCGGGAUGGGACUAAGACAUGCUAGUCGAGCGUCUCCAAGCUAUGGAAGAGACGCGGCACACAGCUCAGUAACACGUGGCUAACCUGCCCUUGGGACAAGGACAACUCCGGGAAACUGGGGCUAAUCCCUGAUAAGUGAGAACUCCUGGAAUGGAUUCUCGCUCAAAGGACGUUUAGACCAUGCUUCUAAGCGUCGCCCAAGGAGGGGGCCGCGACCGAUCAGGUUGUUGGUGAGGUAACGGCUCACCAAGCCUUUAACCGGUACGGGCCGUGAGAGCGGAAGCCCGGAGAUGGGCACUGAGACAAGGGCCCAGGCCCUACGGGGCGCAGCAGUCGCGAAAACUCCGCAAUACACGAAAGUGUGACGGGGCCAUCCCGAGUGCCAUCCGCUGAGGAUGGCUUUUCCCCAGUGUAUAAAGCUGGGGGAAUAAGGAGAGGGCAAGCCUGGUGUCAGCCGCCGCGGUAAUACCAGCUCUCCGAGUGGUGGGGAUGUUUAUUGGGCCUAAAGCAUUCGUAGCCUGCUUGGCAAGUCCUCCGUUAAAUCCAACGAUUCAAUCGUUGGGCUGCGGGGGAUACUGUCCAGCUAGGGGGCGGGAGAGGCCGACGGUAUCCCCGGGGUAGGGGUGAAAUCCUAUAAUCCCGGGAGGACCACCAGUGGCGAAGGCUGUCGGCUAGAACGCGCUCGACGGUGAGGGAUGAAAGCUGGGGGAGCGAACCGGAUUAGAUACCCGGGUAGUCCCAGCUGUAAACGAUGCAGGCUAGGUGUUGGCGCGGCUACGUGCCGCUCCAGUGCCGCAGGGAAGCCGUUAAGCCUGCCGCCUGGGAAGUACGGCCGCAAGGCUGAAACUUAAAGGAAUUGGCGGGGGAGCACCACAAGGUGUGAAGCUUGCGGUUUAAUUGGAUUCAACGCCGG